rnacentral:rRNA from 1 species
GUUUGACCUCGGAUCAGGUGGGGAUACCCGCUGAACUUAAGCAUAUCAAUAAGCGGAGGAAAAGAAACCAACAGGGAUUGCCUCAGUAACGGCGAGUGAAGCGGCAACAGCUCAAAUUUGAAAUCUGGCUCCCUUGGGGGCCCGAGUUGUAAUUUGCAGAGGGUGUUUCGGCGAGGGCCUGGGUCUAAGUUCCUUGGAACGGGACGUCAUAGAGGGUGAGAACCCCGUACGUGGCCCCUGGUCUUCGCCAUGUGAAACCCCUUCGACGAGUCGAGUUGUUUGGGAAUGCAGCUCUAAAUGGGAGGUAUAUUUCUUCUAAAGCUAAAUAUUGGCCGGAGACCGAUAGCGCACAAGUAGAGUGAUCGAAAGAUGAAAAGCACUUUGGAAAGAGAGUCAAAAAGCACGUGAAAUUGUUGAAAGGGAAGCGCUUGCAACCAGACUUGCCUGCAGUCGUUCAUCCGGGCCUCGCGCCCGGUGCACUCGUCUGCAGGCAGGCCAGCAUCGGUUGGGGCGGCCGGACAAAGGCCUUGGGAAUGUGGCUCUCUUCGGGGAGUGUUAUAGCCCAGGGCGCAAUACGGCCAGCCCCGACCGAGGACCGCGCUUCGGCUAGGAUGCUGGCAUAAUGGUCGCAAGCGGCCCGUCUUGAAACACGGACCAAGGAGUCUAACAUCUAUGCGAGUGUUUGGGUGUCAAGCCCGAGCGCGGAAUGAAAGUGAACGGAGGUGGGACCCCCGCAAGGGGCGCACCAUCGACCGAUCCUGAUGUCUUCGGAUGGAUUUGAGUAAGAGCAUAGCUGUUGGGACCCGAAAGAUGGUGAACUAUGCCUGAAUAGGGUGAAGCCAGAGGAAACUCUGGUGGAGGCUCGCAGCGGUUCUGACGUGCAAAUCGAUCGUCAAAUUUGGGCAUAGGGGCGAAAGACUAAUCGAACUAUCUAGUAGCUGGUUCCUGCCGAAGUUUCCCUCAGGAUAGCAGUAACGUAUUCAGUUUUAUGAGGUAAAGCGAAUGAUUAGAGGCCUGGGGGUUGAAACAACCUUCACCUAUUCUCAAACUUUAAAUAUGUAAGAAGUCCUUGUUGCUUAAUUGAACGUGGACAUUUGAAUGUACCGUUACUAAUGGGCCAUUUUUGGUAAGCAGAACUGGCGAUGCGGGAUGAACCGAACGCGGGGUUAAGGUGCCAGAAUGCACGCUCAUCAGACACCACAAAAGGUGUUAGUUCAUCUAGACAGCAGGACGGUGGCCAUGGAAGUCGG